rnacentral:rRNA from 1 species
GACGGACCAUCCAAACGUUAUUCGGAAUUACUGGGCUUAAAGGGUGCGUAGGCGGCGCGGAUAGUUGGGUGUGAAACCCCUCGGCUCAACCGAGGAACUGCGCCCAAAACUGCCGUGCUCGAGGAAGAUAGAGGUAAGCGGAACUUACGGUGGAGCGGUGAAAUGCGUUGAUAUCGUAAGGAACACCUGUGGCGAAAGCGGCUUACUGGGUCUUUUCUGACGCUGAUGCACGAAAGCUAGGGGAGCAAACGGG